rnacentral:rRNA from 1 species
CCUACGGGGGGCAGCAGUGGGGAAUAUUGCGCAAUGGGGGGAACCCUGACGCAGCGACGCCGCGUGAAGGAAGAAGGUCUUCGGAUUGUAAACUUCUUUGAUCGGGGACGAAAUCUGACGGUACCCGAUAAAAAAGCCACGGCUAACUACGUGCCAGCAGCCGCGGUAAGACGUAGGGGGCAAGCGUUACCCGGAAUUACUGGGCGUAAAGGGGUCGUAGGCGGUAAAAGAAGUCAUCUGUGAAAACCUAUUGCUCAACGAUAGGCUAGCGGAUGAAACUGAAUUACUUGAGGGCACCAGAGGUAGACGGAAUUACCCGAGUAGGGGUGAAAUCCGCAGAUACGGGUAGGAACGCCGGUGGAGAAGUCGGUCUACUGGGGUGCACCAGACGCUGAGGCCCGAAAGCUAGGGGAGCAAACCGGAUUAGAUACCCCGGUAGUC